rnacentral:lncRNA from 1 species
UUGGUCCAAUAUCUCAAUUGGUGAAAUCAACAUGAUCAAAUCAAGUCAUGGCUAGAUUGAAAUCAUGGAUAAUCAAAUCUAAAGAUUCAUGGUCUGAUUAAGGUGGGUGCCAGUACGCUGUCUGACAAUCAUGGAUCAGGAUUCUUCGUUAGAAUCAGAUCAGGACUAUUGAAAGAAUUUUUUCAUUGAUAAAUCGAUCAAGAGAGAGAAAUUGAUCGAGAAAGAAAAAUGACUUUAGAGAGAGAAAAUUCUAGAGAGAGAAAAUUUUUAGAGAGAGAAAACUCAUCUUGGAUUCUUUAGGC